AGUUCCUGUCUCGGCAGCUGCAGGCCUACUGUCGGGGCGAAGGGCUGAGGACUGGCCUGAGGACACGGAGAGAGUAAAAGCGAGUGUUACCCGAACUUGCCUCUGACUGGGCAAAUUUGGUGUGCUACUGGGUCUAUGGAAGAAAGUAACCAGGAUGCCAGGAGGAAUUAUGAGCAAGGCUGGAUUGCCAGGGUGGAAUGGAACAGGAGAGCCUAGAGGGCUCUUCUCAUCCGGCUGUGGUUUCUGACCUUUGCAGACCCCAGCUCUGCUCAACUAUCCAGCCUUUGCAGUCACAGAAACUCUCUGGCUCAGGGACCCUGGUGGACUCAAGGCUGUUAAAAAAGAAGAAGAAGAAGAAUGUAUGGGGUGCCUGGCUGGCUCAGUCGGAAGAGCGUGCAACUCUUGAUCUCAGGGUGGUGAGUCUGAGCCCCCCAUUCAAUGGGAAGAUUACUUAAAGUUAAAAAAAAAUGUGACUGAGAUCUUAAGCCUAACAUAUUCACUAUCUGACCUGUUACAACCCAACAGCACCCUGCAGAGUGGUGGCUGAGCCCUAUCCCGAGGCUGCCAGGCUCCUGCUUUUCCUUCAGCAUUGCAGCGAUUCCAAGUCUGGGGAGGUGGCCUGUGAACCUUGGGUCAGCUGCUUGUGGGAGCCAGGGGUUGGAGAGCGGGCCAGUGGAUGCUUCAUCCCCCUUUCCUGCCAUUGCUCUGAAAGGAGUAUAUCUUGUUACCUGUUAUCUGGGCGUCUCCAAGCACAGGACUGAAUUCAGAGAAUACAAUGCUGAUUUCUAUACCCCUGUGGUCUGACCUGUUUAUGGAAAACUCUGUUGAUCAAAAUACCCAAGCACAUGCAUGCACAACAUGCACGCACAUGUAGGGACAUUCUGGAGAACUGAUUUUUCUGGGUAACUGAGGGUUAACUGGAAGCCUGUGUCCUUAUGCCUUAUCGAAAAUUUCUCUACAAAUGGCGAGCAUUUCCCCAGUUUAGUAUUUUGAAAAGUUCCACCACUUUCUAAAUAUGUGACCUUGGUUGAGUUACCUAACCUCAGUAACCUCAGUUUCCUUAUCUGUAAAAUACGCAGAGCAAUACCUCCUGGGUUGUGACAAGCACUAGAAAGAG
rnacentral:lncRNA from 1 species